rnacentral:rRNA from 1 species
CCUGCAGUCGACGGCAGCACAGAGGAGCUUGCUCCUUGGGUGGCGAGUGGCGGACGGGUGAGGAAUGCAUCGGAAUCUGCCUAUUUGUGGGGGAUAACGUAGGGAAACUUACGCUAAUACCGCAUACGUCCUACGGGAGAAAGUGGGGGACCUUCGGGCCUCACGCAGAUAGAUGAGCCGAUGCCGGAUUAGCUAGUUGGCGGGGUAAAGGCCCACCAAGGCGACGAUCCGUAGCUGGUCUGAGAGGAUGAUCAGCCACACUGGAACUGAGACACGGUCCAGACUCCUACGGGAGGCAGCAGUGGGGAAUAUUGGACAAUGGGCGCAAGCCUGAUCCAGCCAUGCCGCGUGUGUGAAGAAGGCCUUCGGGUUGUAAAGCACUUUUGUCCGGAAAGAAAAGCGCUCGAUUAAUACUCGGGUGUUAUGACGGUACCGGAAGAAUAAGCACCGGCUAACUUCGUGCCAGCAGCCGCGGUAAUACGAAGGGUGCAAGCGUUACUCGGAAUUACUGGGCGUAAAGCGUGCGUAGGUGGUUUGUUAAGUCUGAUGUGAAAGCCCUGGGCUCAACCUGGGAACUGCAUUGGAAACUGGCUUACUAGAGUGCGGUAGAGGGGUGUGGAAUUCCCGGUGUAGCAGUGAAAUGCGUAGAUAUCGGGAGGAACAUCUGUGGCGAAGGCGACACCCUGGACCAGCACUGACACUGAGGCACGAAAGCGUGGGGAGCAAACAGGAUUAGAUACCCUGGUAGUCCACGCCCUAAACGAUGCGAACUGGAUGUUGGGGGCAACUUGGCCCUCAGUAUCGAAGCUAACGCGUUAAGUUCGCCGCCUGGGAAGUACGGUCGCAAGAC